AAGGCCUAACACAUGCAAGUCGAGGGGCAGCACGGUGUAGCAAUACACUGGUGGCGACCGGCGCACGGGUGCGUAACGCGUAUGCAACUACCCAUAACAGGGGGAUAACACUGAGAAAUUGGUACUAAUACCCCAUAACAUCAGGACCGGCAUCGGUUCUGGUUGAAAACUCCGGUGGUUAUGGAUGGGCAUGCGUUGUAUUAGCUGGUUGGUGAGGUAACGGCUCACCAAGGCAACGAUACAUAGGGGGACUGAGAGGUUAACCCCCCACAUUGGUACUGAGACACGGACCAAACUCCUACGGGAGGCAGCAGUGAGGAAUAUUGGUCAAUGGACGCAAGUCUGAACCAGCCAUGCCGCGUGCAGGAAGACGGCUCUAUGAGUUGUAAACUGCUUUUGUACGAGAGUAAACGCUCUUACGUGUAAGAGCCUGAAAGUAUCGUACGAAUAAGGACCGGCUAAUUCCGUG
rnacentral:rRNA from 1 species